ACCCGCACAAGCGGUGGAUGAUGUGGAUUAAUUCGAUGCAACGCGAAAAACCUUACCUACCCUUGACAUGUCCGGAAUCCCGAAGAGAUUGGGAGUGCUCGCAAGAGAGCCGGAACACAGGUGCUGCAUGGCUGUCGUCAGCUCGUGUCGUGAGAUGUUGGGUUAAGUCCCGCAACGAGCGCAACCCUUGUCAUUAGUUGCCAUCAUUUGGUUGGGCACUCUAAUGAGACUGCCGGUGACAAACCGGAGGAAGGUGGGGAUGACGUCAAGUCCUCAUGGCCCUUAUGGGUAGGGCUUCACACGUCAUACAAUGGUCGGUACAGAGGGUUGCCAAGCCGCGAGGUGGAGCCAAUCCCAGAAAGCCGAUCGUAGUCCGGAUUGUUCUCUGCAACUCGAGAGCAUGAAGUCGGAAUCGCUAGUAAUCGCGGAUCAGCAUGUCGCGGUGAAUACGUUCCCGGGUCUU
rnacentral:rRNA from 1 species